AGAGUUUGAUCCUGGCUCAGGAUGAACGCUGGCGGCGUGCUUAACACAUGCAAGUCGAACGAGCUAUUUUCUUCGGAGGAUAGCGAGUGGCGGACGGGUGAGUAACGCGUGGGUAACCUGCCCCAUACAGGGGGAUAACAGCUGGAAACGGCUGAUAAUACCGCAUAAGCGCACAGUACCGCAUGGUACGGUGUGAAAAGCCCCGGCGGUAUGGGAUGGGCCCGCGUCUGAUUAGCCAGUUGGCGGGGUAACGGCCCACCAAAGCGACGAUCAGUAGCCGACUUGAGAGAGUGACCGGCCACAUUGGGACUGAGACACGGCCCAAACUCCUACGGGAGGCAGCAGUGGGGAAUAUUGCACAAUGGGGGAAACCCUGAUGCAGCGACGCCGCGUGAGUGAGGAAGUAUUUCGGUAUGUAAAGCUCUAUCAGCAGGGAAGAAAUGACGGUACCUGACUAAGAAGCCCCGGCUAAAUACGUGCCAGCAGCCGCGGUAAUACGUAUGGGGCAAGCGUUAUCCGGAUUUACUGGGUGUAAAGGGAGCGCAGGCGGCGAGGCAAGUCAGAAGUGAAAACCCGGGGCUCAACCCCGCGGAUUGCUUUUGAAACUGCCCGGCUGGAGUGCAGGAGGGGCAAGCGGAACUCCUAGUGUAGCGGUGAAAUGCGUAGAUAUUAGGAAGAACACCGGUGGCGAAGGCGGCUUGCUGGACUGUAACUGACGCUGAGGCUCGAAGGCGUGGGGAGCAAACAGGAUUAGAUACCCUGGUAGUCCACGCAGUAAACGAUGAAUACCAGUGUCGGUG
rnacentral:rRNA from 1 species